rnacentral:rRNA from 1 species
UACGUAGGGGGCAAGCGUUGUCCGGAAUCAUUGGGCGUAAAGCGCGUGUAGGCAGCUAGGUAAGUCUGCUCUGAAAGCCCGGGGCUCAACCCCGGGAGGCGGGUGGAUACUGUCUAGCUCGAGUCCGGAAGAGGAGUGUGGAAUUCCUGGUGUAGCGGUGAAAUGCGCAGAUAUCAGGAGGAACACCAAUGGCGAAGGCAGCACUCUGGGACGUGACUGACGCUGAGACGCGAAAGCGUGGGGAGCAAACAGG